rnacentral:rRNA from 1 species
GAUGAACGCUGGCGGCGUGCCUAAUACAUGCAAGUCGAGCGAACAGACGAGGAGCUUGCUCCUCUGACGUUAGCGGCGGACGGGUGAGUAACACGUGGAUAACCUACCUAUAAGACUGGGAUAACUUCGGGAAACCGGAGCUAAUACCGGAUAAUAUAUUGAACCGCAUGGUUCAAUAGUGAAAGACGGUUUUGCUGUCACUUAUAGAUGGAUCCGCGCCGCAUUAGCUAGUUGGUAAGGUAACGGCUUACCAAGGCAACGAUGCGUAGCCGACCUGAGAGGGUGAUCGGCCACACUGGAACUGAGACACGGUCCAGACUCCUACGGGAGGCAGCAGUAGGGAAUCUUCCGCAAUGGGCGAAAGCCUGACGGAGCAACGCCGCGUGAAUGAUAAAGGUCUUCGGAUCGUAAAACUCUGUUAUUAGGGAAGAACAAAUGUGUAAGUAACUAUGCACGUCUUGACGGUACCUAAUCAGAAAGCCACGGCUAACUACGUG